rnacentral:misc_RNA from 1 species
GAUGAAGAACAUAGCGAAAUGCGAUAAGUAAUGUGAAUUGCAGAAUUCAGUGAAUCAUCGAAUCUUUGAACGCACAUUGCGCCCGCCAGUAUUCUGGCGGGCAUGCCUGUUCGAGCGUCAUUACAACCCUCAGGCCCCCGGGCCUGGCGUUGGGGAUCGGCGGAAGCCCCCUGUGGGCACACGCCGUCCCUCAAAUACAGUGGCGGUCCCGCCGCAGCUUCCAUUGCGUAGUAGCUAACACCUCGCAACUGGAGAGCGGCGCGGCCAUGCCGUAAAACACCCAACUUCUGAAUGUUGACCUCGAAUCAGGUAGGAAUACCCGCUGAACUUAAGCAUAUCAAUAAGCGGAGGA